rnacentral:tRNA from 1 species
GCACGAGUAGUCUAAUGGUAGGACCGUAGACUCCCAUUCUACAAAUCCGGGUUCAAUUCCCGGCUCGUGCACCA